CAGCCGCCGCGGUAAUACCAGCCCCGCGAGUGGUCGGGACGGUUAUUGGGCCUAAAGCGCCCGUAGCCGGCCCGGUAAGUCCCUCCUUAAAGCCCACGGCUCAACCGUGGGAGCGGAGGGAUACUGCCGGGCUAGGGGGCGGGAGAGGCCGGGGGUACUCCUGGGGUAGGGGCGAAAUCCUAUAAUCCCAGGAGGACCACCAGUGGCGAAGGCGCCCGGCUAGCACGCGCCCGACGGUGAGGGACGAAAGCUGGGGGAGCAAAGGGGAUUAGAUACCCCCGUAGUCCCAGCUGUAAACGAUGCAGGCUAGGUGUUAGGCGGGCUUCGUGCCCGCCUAGUGCCGUAGGGAAGCCGUUAAGCCUGCCGCCUGGGGAGUACGGCCGCAAGGCUGAAACUUAAAGGAAUUGGCGGG
rnacentral:rRNA from 1 species